GCAUUACUGACGAGUCCCAAACAGGACGAGACAGCUGUUCAGUGC
rnacentral:hammerhead_ribozyme from 1 species